ACAGCAGGGCAGGAGAAGGAAAACUAAAGAACAGAUUGAGAAAGAGGGAACACCACCUGCUCCAGAUGGCAUGUUAGUAAGGAUUUAAACAUGUUGACUUCAGACCCAUGAAGAUUCAAGUCUUCAAGUCAAACUUGGAGCAAAGAGCAAAACCUUACCAGCCAUGGACUAUUGACAAGCACUGGGGGUAACUAGUGUCUGUGUGAGAGAGCAACAGCUACUGAGCACAGGAAGUGUGUGGUGCAAGAGAUUAGUGACUCGAACUACAGAAUGUUCUUUGCAUUUAUUUUUUCCAUGGAUGAUUAGCCUAACUGGAGACAUCACAGGCUAAAAAUAACUUAAAUAUUGAAAGAGUUUUGCAUCACUCUUCAUUCUACUACUCCACUAUGGAUAACCUCUCUUCCCCGUCUUCCAACACGCAGGAUGGUUCACCCACCAUGUUCCCAGACUCGUCUCGCCGCACCACUCACACUGGUAACCAAGGUGGGUUGGGAUCGUUGGUAUAUGAGGUGGGGGUCGUAUGGGCUCACCUGCGGCCGCUCAUACCGUUCUUUCUGAUCAGUGCAAUGGUCGUGGCAAUCAUCUACCUAAUCCAGCACAUUAUCUACUCUGGGCCAUUCACCGAUCCACUCUUCUUUGAGAAAUUCGAGGAACGUUGGCCUAGACCCAAACCGCACAAGGAUACCUCACCCUCAAACCCAGUCCUUUUCACUGACCCUAUGGAAUACACUGGGAAUGGAACCCUUUGAACUUGAGUCGUGGAAUUCGGAUGAAUUCUGCCUGUGCCAUAGGAUUCUAUUUGAAGGUGGAUCAAAGGUUUUUAGAAUCUCCCUGUGGAAUUUGCGGUGAGGUUCAUUAUCAGAUCAUGAUUAGAUCUGCAUGUGACUCCCAGGGGCUUCUGUCUUUGACUCAAUUGUGUCCCUAUGUCUGUUCUAUUCAACAGCCACUUGGGCUAUGUAUAUAUAAUGUGCAGAUUAUGAGAACCUGGAGUCUGGACCAUUACUAGGCUAUAAUUAGUCUACAAUGCUCUAAUGUCUUAAUCUAUAUUUAUUAGCCCUGUAUAACUGUGUCUGUCAGUGACGGUGAAUGUAUUUAAUGAUUUAAAUUCCAGUAGAUCUGGCCUAGAUCUACAGUUAAUUGUUUUAGAUUAAUACAAUAAUUGUAAUUUGGGAGAAAAAUGCAAAUUGAGGGGGAAUAAAGUUUUGGUUUCAAAAAAAUGUACUCGUCUGUACAGUUUACAGUCCAGUACACACUACACAAAGAUUUUUCAUAGACCGUAUGGAUUUUCUCUACAGAUGCAUUUGUGGCAACCCAUUUAGCAGUGUUGCCAGGUCAAGCUAAAAUUUGUAAUCCAAUGACUACUCAAAACCCACCCAAAAGGCCUGAAAACUUGCCCAACUUUUUUUUUUCAGCAGCUAGAAGAGUUUGUCAUUAUGGAGACAACUAUUGUAUAAAUGUGCAAUCUAAAUACUUAUGGUCAAAUUGCUUUUCUGCAUUUUUCCCUUUUUAUUGGUUCAUCACAUUAAAUGAUUUAAUCUGAACUAUUGAAAUGAUUGAUAGUGAAUGGUUAAGAGGUAUGGGUUUUUUUCAGAAAAAAUUCUUGUGAAAUGGUGUUAACACAAUGUUAAUCAUUGUGAAAUAGUGUUAAUACAAGUCACAUUGCUCUAAAAUAAUUGUAUUCCUUUAAACUGGAGUAUGAAAAACUAAAAUCCCCAACAGUUUGCUUUUGGGAUUUUAUUUCAUAAUAAAUUAAAAUGAAUGUGUAGAGAUAAGUACACCAAAACAGUAGUACUAGUUUGGUAGUAGCCAUCCAUCUAGGAUGAAGUGAUCCCCACACAAGUUGGUGCUGCUGCCAUUACCCAUAUGUUGCUCUACAGAGAGUAGAGGAACAGACAGAUAGUGCUGGGUUAGGCCAACCAGGAGCCCCACUACCAGGUUGAAGCCAUUUCUUGGACUUUAUGGGACACUCAGAAACAGGGUUCCUGCCAGUGAGGGGCCAAAGGAGGUACAUGUUGGUGAUCCCCAUAGAAGCUGCAGUUGCUUCUUGGUUGUGACGUCUGUACUUUGAUCAAUAAUCAACGAGUAAGACACAAUUUGAUUUAUUAGUUCCUCAUGCACUGCGGGCCCUAUAACUUAAUUCAUGAGCGCUGUGCAUUUUGUUCUGGGGAAAUUGAUUCCUUUCUUUGCGAUGUCUUCAAUGCAUCCCAUGUGAUCUAGUUGCAAUGAUGGAGUGGCAUGCAAAAUGUGCAGCGAUCUGUAAGGAUGAUUGUUUAACUGUUAUUCUCAUACAAAUGUAGUUCCCGAAUCAAACAAUGUUCUUGCAUUAGAAAAUGGAGCAGCAUGUCUCUUGUUUCUCCGUUUGUGAAUGAGAAAUAAGAUCGGGUUGUUGGGCUCGCAUGUUUCAUCUGCAAUACCUACAACCUUUUCUGUCAUCUCCCACGAUGCUAAUACAUUACAUUAUACCCAUUUCUAUUUCCUAGUUUUUGCAAAAUGUUCGCCCAUUUACCUGGCAUUCUGACAGUAGAAUCGUGUCUAGACAGCAAACUAGCGUGUUAAAUCUGUUAGUCUGCUUGCUACGUGCUCAAGAUAGAAAGCACAUUGAUGGAUCCUCUUUCUUAAACUGUUGGAUGUAAUGGAUUUCUCUUCCUUGCUGUAAUGAUUGGUAGGACUUACAGAAUUAUAAAGCUAGCUAGCUAGUGCUGCUGUUCCUUGUUGAAUCUCACGUCACUUGUCAUGAUGUGCGCCCGCGCUGUUAACCCUGACUGACGUGGCUCCGCUGAGCUGCAGCAUCCUCAACAGUACUACACACUCGAUGUGAUAAAUAUAUUUUCCAAAGCAUCUGGUCUUUGCCUAAACCUUAAUAAGUGUGAAUUAUUUGCUGUUAAAAACUGUGUGAUACCCUCUAUAUGCAAUAUUCCAGUCAAGGAAAAAGUAACAUACCCUGGGAUUACCAUAUAUCUAAGGAUCAACAAGAAAGAUGCUCAUUAUAUUUUAUACCUAUUAUUGAAAGAAGAAAAAAAGAAGUUGAACCAUUGGAUGCAGAGGGAUUUAUCCUUGAAAGAUAGAGUGUUGCUUUCUAAAACUGAAGUGGAUGUGGGAAUGUGGCGGUAUCAGAGGCCAGGGCUCAAGGCCUUACUCCUGACAGAGCUUCAGAGGCAGCGGAGGACAGUUCUGUGACACGGUGCUCCGAGCAGAGGGGGUGUCAGUACCAGCCCACAGUUACAUCCUGUCCGCCCUAAGCCCCCAGCUGUCAUGUGCCCUGUCCACCGCACCGGCACCUCCCUCUGGGCAGAGCCACCUACUGGAUUUCCAGGUUUUUGGGGCAUGCACCCUGGGAGGCUGGUAGGUCUGCUGUAUUCUGGGGAGAUGGUGGGAGAGAGGGAGGCGGAGAGACAGGAAGUGAUUUCUGCUGCUACUAGGCUGGGCAUCCAAGGACUGGUGGAGAUCAGAAAGCGGGAUUUGAACGCUUCGAGGGAAACAUCGCUGGAUUCAUCAGUUACUUCCUCGAUCCCUCCCAACCACAGGAGGAGAACCUGAGAGGGAGGCGGGGCCGGAGGAGGCGGGUGGGGGGGGAUCUAAGAGGGGGGGAACUGAGAGGAGAGCCAGGAGGCUGAGAGAAGGAGGUAGUAGAGUGAGAGGAGUCCUGAAGAAGGGGUCUGGGGUUGAGCAGGGGGUGAUGGAGGUGUCCCAGAGAGCAAGACUGGAAGUAGUGGGUCCGAGCCUUCGUCCCCUUCUUCCCCAUCUCCCGCCCCCUCCCCUGCCCCUAACCUGACCCUUUCCCCGUCCCUCGUCCACACUGCCCCC